ensembl:lncRNA
AUGUUAUGUUAUGUUAUGUUAUGUUAUGUUAUGUUAUGUUAUGUUAUGUUAUGUUAUGUUAUGUUAUGUUAUGUUAUGUUAUGUUAUGUUAUGUUAUGUUGAAUGACGUCAAGUUACUAAUGAGGCACCUAUGCAUACAUAUCUAUGGGUACAAUAAUGAGCAUGAUGUUAUUGUUUACACGGUCAAACAGAGCAGGUGACCUCUACGAAUAAAAUAGAAGUUUGUAGUUCUCCAAAUAGAAUUAGGAUUUUUAAAGAAAUGUUUCAACCAAUUUAUUUUAAAAGUAUUAUUAAGAGUACAGAAAUCGAUAAAGUUUAAUCCACCCUUUUCAUAAUCACUUGUUAGCACAGACUUCUUCACAUGAUGAGUUCUAUUUUUCCAUAGGAAAUUAAAAAGUAGCUUGUCAAUCUCAGUAAUAUGUUUUUUGUCCACAUACAAGUUCAGUACAUUAGUAUCUAGUUGAGAUGGCAGAACAUGACCCUUUUGAUGGUAACCUCCCUGCAGUUGUCAUUCAGUUAGAUGAUGUAGAUAAGUUACUUUCAAUUGAAUUUUGUCCACAAUAUGUGAUUAACGCAACAGUUAUAGACAGGGAUAUCUGGAGGACUCUUCCACAAAUACACAUACCACGUCACUUCACUGCUCUCAACACAGGUUUUUUUGGAGAACAUGGAUGAUGAACAGCCUGGACCUUCUGAUCUGGUCAACAAUAGUGAGGACAGACCUGGAGGAUCUAGAACAUCUGCUGCCCAAAGCUCAGGCAGUCAGGUUAAGAUGAGACAGGGUGUUAAAAGAAAGAAAAAGAGAGUGCAGGUCAUAGAGCAGACAACCGAAAAGAAGGAGAUCAAACCACAACCCUGAUUCUUUAAUUGAUUCUCACAGCUCUGGCUUUUACCCCGUGUAUAUCAAUAACUCACCAGAUGCUCGUUGGAAGACACAUAUGAGUAGAUACAGCACAGAUGAUGAACAGCCUGGACCUUCAAACCUGGUCUACAGUAGUAAGGCCAGUCCUGGAGGAUCCAGAGCACCUUCUGACCAAAGCUCAGACAGUCAGGUUGAGACGAGACACGGUUUAAAAAGAAAAAGAAAGACUUCUGGCAUGUCAGAAUGUAGAGAAAGUAAAAGAAAGAGAUUAAGACCACCGCUCUGGUUCUGAUUCAAAUGAUGACCAGCCUGAACCUUCUGUGAGAGCCAACAGUGGCUUCUGACCAAAGCUCAGACAGUCAGAAUGAGACAAGGCAGGGUUUAAAAAGAAAAAGGAAUUUGGAAUUUACUAUUUAAUGCAUGAUGUCACAAAGUUUGGCAAAUUUGGAAUGGCGGAAUCCAGUCAAAAUGGAAUUUACUAUAUAAUGUGGAAUGUCAUGAAGUUUGGAAAAUUUUGGGUGAAUUAAUCAAAAGUGGAGCUGUACACUUAAUCAAAUCGUGAUAUGGACUCAAGUCUGUGAAUACUAAACUACAAAAAGACUGCUAUUGAAAAAUGAACCCUUCAUGUUCAUGUCUCUAUAUAGCCUUGUUCAGACUGUCAGCCCAAAUCUGAUUUUUGUGCAACUCCGAUUGAAAUCGGCCCUUUUUGUUACAUUUUUAAUAAAUGGUUGUUAAAUUGUAUAAGUUUUAUGAGA